rnacentral:rRNA from 1 species
AUUGAACGCUGGCGGCAUGCUUUACACAUGCAAGUCGAACGGCAGCGCGGGCUUCGGCCUGGCGGCGAGUGGCGAACGGGUGAGUAAUGCAUCGGAACGUGCCCCGCAGUGGGGGAUAGCCCGGCGAAAGCCGGAUUAAUACCGCAUACGACCUGAGGGUGAAAGCGGGGGACCGAAAGGCCUCGCGCUAUUGGAGCGGCCGAUGUCGGAUUAGCUAGUUGGUGGGGUAAAGGCUUACCAAGGCGACGAUCCGUAGCUGGUCUGAGAGGACGACCAGCCACACUGGGACUGAGACACGGCCCAGACUCCUACGGGAGGCAGCAGUGGGGAAUUUUGGACAAUGGGGGCAACCCUGAUCCAGCCAUGCCGCGUGCGGGAAGAAGGCCUUCGGGUUGUAAACCGCUUUUGUUCGGGAAGAAAUCCUCUGGGCUAAUACCCCGGGGGGAUGACGGUACCGGAAGAAUAAGCACCGGCUAACUACGUG